UCUGUGACACAUUCUGAUCCUGGGAAAAAGAGAGCUACAAAUGGCAGGAUGCACAGCUUCUCUGGGGAUGCCAUAAAGGAAAAACAAGCACAAGAGGUACCCAAACCGAACUCUGUUUUCCCCUGUAGGGGUUUUGGACUGUUUGCAGUGUGAACAGCUGACCAGAAUGACAUGGAAGGCCAUUACUUAGAGGGUCAUUUUCUUCCACAGUGUAAAUCAAGAGGCAAAGCAGCUCAAGGAACCCAAAAGCUGAAGCAGAAAAGCAGCCUCUUGCACUAUUCAGGAUCCCCAGCUGGUCCAAAAGAACUUUCAAGCCAGAUAAACAUUUCUGCAACACUUUUGUCUGAAUCUGAACUCUGCAUAAGGAAAUAUGGG
ensembl:lncRNA